GAGAACAUUUGACCUAGGUGUUGAAAGAGAGAAGAAAUUGGACAGCCAGGGGUGGGAAUGAAGAGAAGACUCCAGAGUGGAGACCCAUCCUAAGGGAAGGCAGGAUGAGGAGAGCAUGAAGAGACAGGGAAAAUGGUGAGUUAUUCCAUUUGGGUGAACUGCGAUGAAGCCCUUUCCUAGAGUUUCCUUGGGACAGAAAAAGUAAGGUUCCUUUUUUGAAGUAGACACUCAAAGCAGGAAGCACCGGCUAUGUAGAUAUUCGGCUCAACUUUUGAAAGAGAAAGGUUAUACCCAAGUAAAUGUUCCAGGAUGAACUAUCCUUAAAAUCACCUGCUUACCUCUCAGGAUAUGUUAAAGAGCUAUUAGAUGACCAGAAUGACCUGAAAUAUCUUGAAAAGAGUUAUCAGCUGCAUGCGAUGGCUCACACCUGUAAUCCCAGCACUUCAGGAGGCCAAGGUGGGUACAUCUCUUGAACCAGGAGUUUGAUACUAGCCUGGCCAAGAUGGUGAAACC
rnacentral:lncRNA from 1 species